rnacentral:lncRNA from 1 species
UGAAAGGGCUGAAUGUACCUUGCAUUUUAGGAAGGAAAGUGGUACCUAUGGAAGGCGAGGACGGCGUCUGCAUCAGUAUUCAGUAUUCAGCUUUUCAAAAGAUGAGAUUAAAGAGGUUAAAGUAACUACAAACAAGGUAAAAACCUCAAAUUCAAUAUCCUCUUAUGUACACUGAUUUCCAUGUGUUAUUAAUAAUAUAUACUUAGUAAUUUGUACAGAUAAUCACUUUUCUAACAGUGUCUGCAUUCCCUUCUGAUCCUUGCUUUGUACUGAUUCAACCAAUUGACUUUAUUAAUGGAGAAAUCUGAAGAAAAUAAACCAUGAUUUGACUAAUUCGAUUGCAUGAAAAAGAUUGAAUUGUAAAUGUUUUGGUAAAGAGAAAUUGGGUUAGAUAACAGGGAAUAUAUUUGAGCAGAGAUAGGAAAUGUAAAAUACUGUAUUGAAGGCGAAAAUUUCAAUAUUGAAAUAGUUACCAAUUUACAUCUCUUCCAUUCUAUUUCCCAGACAAGAACAAGAAAGCUUUGAUUGAAAGGAUAAUUUCUACUACUGUAUUAAGAAAAUUCUGCAUGUAUUCACACAAAGUUGUUCAAAAUACAAUGCACAUACAGUAAGCACAAGACUUGACACCAGUUGAGACAUUGAAGUGGAAGCCACAAAGGUUGGUCUCUGGUGGGAACAAAAUAGGUGGAGAAGUUGAGAAGAUGCAUCCAUCCUAACUAUAUUUCUCCUUGUAUCUGAGAAAAAAGAACCUAAACAGGCCCCUCAAAAUUGGGUUAGAUUGCUAUUGAUUAACAAAAAAGUUGGAAAGCAAAAUUCUUUCGAGUUCGAUUUGAGAAUGACUAGUCAGAAAAAUUCCUGUCCAUUUUAAGCUUGCUCUUCACAUCUUGUAUCUCCUUCAUUUGUCGCUGCAAGGCAAAGAAAAUAUGUGAAACCAGCCACAGGAAUAGGCAUAUAAGAUAGUAUGCGAUGCAUUGGCGAUAUAUUGCAAGAAAUAAUUCUUCACAAUGCUCCACCUGAUAUAGUGCAUUCCAACAUGCAUUAAACUUCGCAUAAUGCAGUAACCAUUCUAUAGACAUCGGGUACUCUAUUGUAUUGGGCUGAGAGCAAUGGGAGGUUGAUACUGCAUUUCUCUGUAAAGGCAGGAAACACGCAAUUUAAAACUUCUUUUCUUAUAUGGGUAAAUGAAUGAAUUAGGUGAGUAAGGUUACCAUCUCCUGGUUUUGCCUUUGAGGCGCAGUUCUGUCAAUGACCAAAUGGCCAGUGAAUUUUUUCUUCUUGUCAGGCUCACGGAGAAUUCCCUUCAUGGCACUGACAAUCCUGUAGAAAAUCUAUGAACAGUACAUACUAUGCAGUAUAAAAUGACUUAGAAGAUCGAUUUUGGAAACAAGGUGGUUUUUGCUUAAGAGCAAGACAAUAAAUGCAUUAUUGUAAUUUUAGCAAGAUAUGGGUAAUAUGAACCUAAGUAAAAUUGGUCAAAGAUCCAUUUUUCUGAGUUUAAAUAUCUGGAAUCAAUUACACAAAAAUGAUAGAGAAAAUAAAGAUAGUUAGUAUGGAAAGAGGCAUCAAGAGUUGUUUGAAAUUCCAUAGUAACAGACUCUAAUGCAAUUUUUACCAUCCAACUAUUCUAUAUGGUAGUGAAUGUUGGACUUGUUAACAUGGGAGAAAUUUGAGAGGAGUACUUAUGAAAGUGCUAAGAGAAAUGUGUGGUUUGGAAGUAGUUAUUGAUCUCAUGGUAAAUAAUAUUCUUGAAACUCUGAUUUUUAAAGCAAACCAAAUGGCAUUUUGUGAUUCAUAGAGUCGUCCUCACGUAGUGAGAUAAGGGCUUUGUUGUUAUUAUUGUGUGUCUGUAUGUGUUUGUAUGCGUAGAUAGAUAGAUAUAGAUAAAUAAUGGAAAGUUUAAAAAGUUAUAAAAGAUCAAAGCCAUCUAAUAAGAUAUGCACUUCCUUCCAUUGCAAUAACAGAUGGUACAUGUAGGGUUUUCCAUUAUUUAAUACUUACCACAAGAUCAAUUAUAAAAUGUUGAGGUUAAACCUUUGGUUCAAAAUCCCUGCUUUUGUUUUUUAUUUCUUAGUGAAGAAAUAUAAACUUAGCCGUUAUUCUGUGGUGACUUUCAUAUCUGGAGAUUUACCAUUAGGAUAUAAACGAAGUAGAACCUAUUAGGUGGUGUGCAACUAUCAACAUAACUGCCUGUGACCUGGAAAUAAUGAUUAUUGCAUAAAUUGGAUAUUAAAUCCAUUCAGCUGCAAGCCUAAGGAUCUAGGAUGACAUAUAAAUAUCGAUUUGUGUAUCUUUACCAUCAAUAAUUUGAAUAAACAUUCAAGUACAUGCAGGAAGCAUAUGCAGCACCUUCCGGGAUUGCUCAACAAUAAUGCAGCUAGUGGGCAGAGUUUCCUAUUUGCCAAAUAUUCAACCUCAUAAUAUAAUUUUUUAUGAGGUUGAAGAUGUUAGCUUACCUAGAUGCCCCAAAGUUCUUAAACAGGAAAAAUUAUCACUGAAACGAUACAUGAAUCUUAGGAGAGUAAUUCAGCAUC